GAAGCGGGACGCAGCCAAAGAACACGAGAUGCCAUUUCUCAGCCCAAUUGGAAAGAGGCCGGGAGCACCAGUUCCCUGACCCCCUCAGCCCCACCGCCUGCCGCCCCCUGGUACUGACCAGCUCCUUCUUCCUCUUCUCCUCUUUCACGUCGGUCUUCUUGAUCUCUGCCUUGAAGGCCUCCGCCUCGCCAUUCUGGUCGUCCUUGGCCAGCAGGUCCAUGAGGGACACCAGUCCCUACGAAGACCUUGGGCGAUUUUGAAGUGCGGGCACCUCGAUUCCCCGAAUCUGUAGUGUGGCUGGUAUCGGUGUUCCCCUGGUUUAACUAGCCUGUUUGAAGGCACAGAUCAUUCAUGGGGAUGUAUAACCGAAACCAGUCCUCUCCACCGCCUGGGGAUCUUCACUUUCGCAGUCUACGACUGCCUGUGACUCCAGAAAGACAAACUGCAGAUUGGCCAAGGUCCAGCCUAAAUGUUACCUCCUCCAGGGAGCCUUUCCAGAUACUGCUUCUCCUCUCUCCCCCAACUCCCUCCCACAAAUGAAGUUUUCUCUUCUGAAUUCCUUGCUGGUACUGUCACUUAUAUUCUUUUGGGUAGAUCUCUGGGCAUGCAUAUGUCACCUCCUGUGACUGUGGGUUUCUUGACAACCUAAUCAAUGCAUUGAACAAAGGAGAUGUUUAGACAACCCAUAUAAAAUGAAUAAGAGAAAUAGGGUGAAUACCGUCUACCCCAAUUGCAAUCAGAUUAGUUUCCUUUAUUUUGAAAACGAUUAGAACUAGUAGAGGAGUUAGAUGUGGCCCACUAGGGAACAAAUUUUCAUCUCCAAGCCGUCCUCUGGCUCGAUCGGGUCUGCACUGGGUCUGCAUCAACUUGCGCUGGCUCAGAGGGAGGCUCAGCCCCAGCCUGGCCUUCCUGGUGCCCACUCCCAACAUCCUGAGCAGGGCCGACUCUAGGCACCCCACGAUUAGCUGAGUGAUCUAGGGCAAGGACCUAGGCGUCUCUAAGUCUUAGUUUCCCCAUCUGAACAAUGUGGAUAAUGACACGUACCUGGGGUGGGCAGGCUAGAGUAAAUGGGAAAAUCAAAGCGCCAGCCAGAGCGGGUCGCACUGUUAGUUCCUGUAUUUUCUCCUCCUGCCUCUGGUUUCUUCCGUUCCGUUCUAGCUGCCUGAAGACCCAGCCCGACAGCGAUGCCUGUCAGCCCGCGUCGCCCACCAGGGCAGCUGCUCUCCCAACUCGCAUGGGGGGCACCACCCCGCCUCGGUGCCCUAGAGCUGAGCGCAGCCGCGGCUCCACGGGGAUCGCCAGGGCCUCAGCCCUCGCGGCCGGCGGCGCGGGAGUGUUGCGGGGCAGGGACCAGAGCGCGAUCAGAGCGGCCACCCCCGAUUUAGGUCGCCAGCUUUCCAGUCACUGCGAUGGCCACUGGGGCGCCCCUUCCAUCCUGGUUAAAUUCUCAUUGUGAUCCCCAGCCCUCUUCUCGGUUCCCCACACCCAGGAGGCCGGUUCUCCGCCGCUCAGGCUGGGAGAGGUCACCGCUCCGGGCAGGGUGGACCCCCAGCUCCGUCUCGGAGGACCUUUCGCCGGAGGCGAGCAGGAAGGGGUUAACCAUGAGCCUCCCACCCUCACCUCCCAG
ensembl:lncRNA HAND2-AS1 HAND2 antisense RNA 1